rnacentral:rRNA from 1 species
UGGGGAAUCUUCCGCAAUGGACGAAAGUCUGACGGAGCAACGCCGCGUGAGUGAUGACGGCCUUCGGGUUGUAAAGCUCUGUUAAUCGGGACGAAUGGUUCUUGUGCGAAUAGUGCGAGGAUUUGACGGUACCGGAAUAGAAAGCCACGGCUAACUACGUGCCAGCAGCCGCGGUAAUACGUAGGUGGCAAGCGUUGUCCGGAAUUAUUGGGCGUAAAGCGCGCGCAGGCGGAUUGGUCAGUCUGUCUUAAAAGUUCGGGGCUUAACCCCGUGAUGGGAUGGAAACUGCCAAUCUAGAGUAUCGGAGAGGAAAGUGGAAUUCCUAGUGUAGCGGUGAAAUGCGUAGAUAUUAGGAAGAACACCAGUGGCGAAGGCGACUUUCUGGACGAAAACUGACGCUGAGGCGCGAAAGCCAGGGGAGCGAACGGGAUUAGAUACCCCGGUAGUCCUGGCCGUAAACGAUGGGUACUAGGUGUAGGAGGUAUCGACCCCUUCUGUGCCGGAGUUAACGCAAUAAGUACCCCGCCUGGGGAGUACGACCGCGAGGUUG